rnacentral:rRNA from 1 species
GACGGAGGGUGCAAGCGUUGUUCGGAAUUACUGGGCGUAAAGGGCUCGUAGGCGGCCAACUAAGUCGGACGUGAAAUCCCUCGGCUUAACCGGGGAACUGCGUCCGAUACUGGAUGGCUUGAGUUCGGGAGAGGGAUGCGGAAUUCCAGGUGUAGCGGUGAAAUGCGUAGAUAUCUGGAGGAACACCGGUGGCGAAGGCGGCCCCCUGGACCGGAACUGACGCUGAGGCGCGAAAGCGUGGGUAGCAAACGGG